UCGGGUUGUAAAGCACUUUUGUCCGGAAAGAAAACUUCUGGGUUAAUACCCUGGGAGGCUGACGGUACCGGAAGAAUAAGCACCGGCUAACUACGUGCCAGCAGCCGCGGUAAUACGUAGGGUGCGAGCGUUAAUCGGAAUUACUGGGCGUAAAGCGUGCGCAGGCGGUUUGUUAAGACAGAUGUGAAAUCCCCGGGCUUAACCUGGGAACUGCAUUUGUGACUGGCAAGCUAGAGUAUGGCAGAGGGGGGUAGAAUUCCACGUGUAGCAGUGAAAUGCGUAGAGAUGUGGAGGAAUACCGAUGGCGAAGGCAGCCCCCUGGGCCAAUACUGACGCUCAUGCACGAAAGCGUGGGGAGCAAACAGGAUUAGAUACCCUGGUAGUCCACGCCCUAAACGAUGUCAACUAGUUGUUGGGUCUUCAUUGACUUAGUAACGUAGCUAACGCGUGAAGUUGACCGCCUGGGGAGUACGGUCGCAAGAUUAAAACUCAAAGGAAUUGACAGGGACCCGCACAAGCGGUGGAUGAUGUGGAUUAAUUCGAUGCAACGCGAAAAACCUUACCUACCCUUGACAUGGUCGGAACCCUGCUG
rnacentral:rRNA from 1 species